rnacentral:rRNA from 1 species
AACGAACGCUGGCGGCAUGCCUAACACAUGCAAGUCGAACGAGACCUUCGGGUCUAGUGGCGCACGGGUGCGUAACGCGUGGGAACCUGCCCUUAGGUUCGGAAUAACUCCCCGAAAGGGGUGCUAAUACCGGAUAAUGUCUUCGGACCAAAGAUUUAUCGCCUUUGGAUGGGCCCGCGUUGGAUUAGCUAGUUGGUAGGGUAAAAGCCUACCAAGGCGACGAUCCAUAGCUGGUCUGAGAGGAUGAUCAGCCACACUGGGACUGAGACACGGCCCAGACUCCUCGGGGGGGCAGAAGGGGGGAUGUUGGGAAAGUGGGCAAAAGCCUAACCCAGCAAGGCCGCGUGAGUGAGGAAGGCCUUAGGGUUAUAAAGCUCUUUUACCCGGGAUGAUAAGGACAGUACCGGGAAAAAAAGCCCCGGCAAACUCCGU